UCACUGCUGUGCUCUGUCGUCUGAGGGGAUUGUAAGGAGAAGCCUGGCCCAGACAGGUGACUGAUUGCUGAAAGCUGUGCGUCUCUCAUGGCUUUCCAUGCCUUGGUAACCUCUACCGUCCACAAAGCCCCGCCUCAUGGGAUGUGACAAGGAAUCACCUGUCCUGUGUACCUGCUGCUGGGCAGGACCACAGUGGAAAGGACAGCCCAGGUGGAUACUUCUCAGCACUAUCCGGCUCCUGGCAGUACUGAAAGAUGUGUGAUCUGGGCAACACUACUGAAUGACAUGAUAACACACAGAGAGUGGUUCUUCUCCUUACGAGGACAGAGACAGAGCAAGUAAUUACACAGACGAAUGGACGACACUUCCUGAUAAAUGCUGCAGCAGAGGUGACGAUGGCUGCUGGACCUGGACUAAUAAGAGACAAAGAUAAUGGCCCUGAACAGCUGAAGGGAAUGAGAGACAAACCUGAACAUUCUGCAUCUUAGAGCUUUGCCCAGCUUCCCCCAGCUUGAAGAAGAACCACCCAGCUGAGCCCAGCCUAGGUCAGCUGGACUGCAGACCAGCUAGUCACUGAGCAGGACAGUAACUGCCAUGGAAACUUCUGUGAUUGAGGGAUGUCUUGUUUUGAAGUAAUACUGUGGCUGAUCAAUUAAUACUGUCCAGUUUUGUGACCUA